rnacentral:rRNA from 1 species
AUACGAAGGGGCCAAGCGUUGUUCGGAAUCACUGGGCUUAAAGCGCAUGUAGGCGGAAGAUUAAGUGUCUUGUGAAAUCCCUCGGCUUAACCGAGGAACUGCAGGGCAUACUGGUCUUCUUGAGGCAAGUAGGGGUGCAUGGAACUCUGGGUGGAGCGGUGAAAUGCGUAGAUAUCCAGAGGAACGCCUGCGGAGAAAUCGGUGCACUGGGCUUGUUCUGACGCUGAGAUGCGAAAGCGUGGGGAGCGAACAGGAUUAGAUACCCUAGUAGUCC